rnacentral:lncRNA from 1 species
UACAAACUAAAUUUAUUAAAUUUUAAAUAUCAGUUUCGGAAUUAAAAUUUAAAUAUCAAUUUCAUAUUUACUUAAAAAGUUGAAAUUACAAAGAUAAAUACAUAUAUAUACACAAAUACACACAAUCAUCAUCUCUAUGGGUUCAUGCACUGGACGGGUUCCGCCACCGGCUUCUCCACUGGCUCCGGUUUCUCCGGUACCGUACCACCGGAGUGAUUCCAUCUGAAGCGACGACUGGAUCUGGUUGUGGGGCGACCGGAGUUGGUUUGAUAUACACACACUCUCUGCCAUUGCUCCGAUCUGUUACGACGCAACUACCUCCGACGCGUCUUCUCCGUCACACCACCAUUUCUCCGUUUCAUCACUGCUACUUCUUCACAGAUCUGUAAAGAAAACAAAAAUCAAUUAGAAAUUGUAUAAUGAGAUGAAGACAAAGAAAGAAAACUAUUUUGCAACCAUUUGUCUAAAGGUAGUUGCACUUUAAGUAAAUAUAGUUUACAAAAUCAUUAAUGUAGAAC